rnacentral:ncRNA from 1 species
CCCAUUGCAGAUCUUGGUGGUAGUAGAAAAUAUUCAAAUGAGAAUUUUGAAGACUAAAGUGGGGAAAGGUUCCAUGUGAACAACACUUGGACAUGGGUUAGUCGAUCCUAAGAGAUGGGGAAGCCCUGUAUCAAGGGUGCCCUCUACAUGAACAUCUAAAUGGAAUCAGGUUAAUAUUUCCAAACCGAGACAUGGCGGUGGACGACAACAUUAGGAAAUAUGGAGACGUCGUCGGGGGCCCCAGGAAGAGUUAUACUUUAUUUUUAAUGGCUUUCCCACCCUAAAAUCAAUUCAAUUGGAGAAAGGGUCCAACAACUGGAAGAACAUGGCAUGUAUUUCAGUUUCCGAUGCCCCCUCAAUGGCCAUUGAAAAUAUGGAGGACUGAGUACCAUACAUUCCUAGUCAUACUCAUAAUCACAUCAGGUCUCCAAGGUCAUGAACAACCUCUCAUUAAUUGAACAAUGUAGGUAGGGGAAGUCGAAAAAAUGGAUUCAUAACUUCGGGAAAAUAAUUGGCUCUAAGGGAUGGGCCUAGGGGUAUGCAUAUUCGACACAUGGGUAGUCGACAAUCUUCCUAAGCUACUCUCAUGGCGAGGGUGGGCUGUCACAUGCCAAUUUUUAUAUGUAUGUAGAAUUUUCCCUCAUAGAGGAUUUUCCGUAGGUGGCGAAAAGUCGACUCAAAACUAGUACGGAGAAGGGGAAUCCGACUAUUUAAUUAAAACAAAUCAUUGUGAUGGUCCUUGUGGAUGUUGGCACAAUGUGAUUUAUGCCCAGUUCUCUGAAUGUCAAAGUGAAGAAAUUCAACCAAGCAUGGGUAAAUAACAGGAGUAACUAUGACUCUAUUAAGGUAUCCAAAUUCCUUUUCAUCUAAUUAUUGACGUGCAUGAAUGGACAUUGUGGUUUUCAUUCACCCAGGGGUUCCGAACUCCCAGAGUAUCGAAUGGCUUAGUUCCUU